rfam:Mesocricetus auratus contig024571, whole genome shotgun sequence.
UGGCUCAGAGGUUAAGAGCACUGGCUGCUCUUCCAGAGGUCCUGGGUUCAAUUCCCAG